rnacentral:tRNA from 1 species
AGCCUUAUGGUGUACAACACAUCAGAUUGCAAAUCUGAAGAUGCGGGUUAACUGCCAGCUUGGGCUU